rnacentral:rRNA from 1 species
UACGUAGGUGGCAAGCGUUGUCCGGAUUUACUGGGCGUAAAGAGCGCGCAGGCGGUCGUAUAAGUCGAAUGUGAAAGCCCCCGGCUCAACUGGGGAGGGUCAUUCGAUACUGUUCGACUCGAAGGCAGGAGAGGGAAGUGGAAUUCCGGGUGUAGUGGUGAAAUGCGUAGAUAUCCGGAGGAACACCAGUGGCGAAGGCGACUUUCUGGCCUGUUCUUGACGCUGAGGCGCGAAAGCUAGGGGAGCAAACAGGG